rnacentral:rRNA from 1 species
CCUACGGUGGCAGCAGUGGGGAAUAUUUGACAAUGGGCGAAAGCCUGAUCCAGCCAUGCCGCGUGUGUGAAGAAGGCCUUCGGGUUGUAAAGCACUUUCAGUGGGGAAGAAAGCCUUGGGGCUAAUACCCUCGAGGAAGGACAUCACCCACAGAAGAAGCACCGGCUAACUCCGUGCCAGCAGCCGCGGUAAUACGGAGGGUGCGAGCGUUAAUCGGAAUUACUGGGCGUAAAGCGCGCGUAGGCGGUCUGAUAAGCCGGUUGUGAAAGCCCCGGGCUCAACCUGGGAACGGCAUCCGGAACUGUCAGGCUAGAGUGCAGGAGAGGAAGGUAGAAUUCCCGGUGUAGCGGUGAAAUGCGUAGAGAUCGGGAGGAAUACCAGUGGCGAAGGCGGCCUUCUGGACUGACACUGACGCUGAGGUGCGAAAGCGUGGGUAGCAAACAGGAUUAGAUACCCUAGUAGUC